UACAGAGGUCUCGAGCGUUAAUCGGAGUCACUGGGCUUAAAGGGUGCGUAGGCGGGUCCGCAAGUGCUUUGUGAAAUCCCAUGGCUUAACCAUGGAACUGCUUGGCAGACUGCGGAUCUUGAGGUCGGUAGAGGCUGCUGGAACUCUAGGUGGAGCGGUGAAAUGCGUAGAUAUCUAGAGGAACGCCGAUGGUGAAGACAGGCAGCUGGGCCGAUUCUGACGCUGAGGCACGAAAGCGUGGGUAGCAAACGGG
rnacentral:rRNA from 1 species